CGUAAGUUUCCUGUCGUUGUUUACUACUUGGAUAUCCACGGUAAUUCUAGAGCUAAUACAUGCGUCCAGACCCAACUUUUGCGAAGGGUUGUGCCUAAUAAAACACUAACCCACCCCGGCUUGCCCGGUUUCGAGGUGAUUGAUGGUAAUCGAACGAAUCGCAUGCUUCGCCGCCAAGAAUCCUUCCAAUUUCCGAACCAACCACCUUCCAACGGAAGGUAAUGGCCCAACCUGGCCUUUAACGGGAACCGAAAAAUAAGGGUUGAAUCCCGAAAAGGAACCCGAAAAACCGCCACCCCCUCCUAAGGAAGGCACCAGGCCCCCAAUUUACCCAUCCCGA
rnacentral:rRNA from 1 species